rnacentral:rRNA from 1 species
AGAGUUUGAUCCUGGCUCAGGAUGAACGCUAGCGACAGGCUUAACACAUGCAAGUCGAGGGGCAGCGGGGGAGCAGCAAUGCUCCCGCCGGCGACCGGCGCACGGGUGAGUAACACGUAUGGAACCUGCCCGCAGCAGGGGGAUAAGCGGAAGAAAUUCCGUCUAAUACCGCGUAACACCGCGGAGGGGCAUCCCUCGGCGGUUAAAGAUUCAUCGGCUGCGGAUGGCCAUGCGGCGCAUUAGCUAGUCGGCGGGGUAACGGCCCACCGAGGCGACGAUGCGUAGGGGUUCUGAGAGGAAGGUCCCCCACACUGGUACUGAGACACGGACCAGACUCCUACGGGAGGCAGCAGUGAGGAAUAUUGGUCAAUGGCCGGGAGGCUGAACCAGCCAAGUCGCGUGAGGGAAGACGGCCCUAAGGGUUGUAAACCUCUUUUGUCAGGGAGCAAGAGGCGGGUCGGGACCUGCUGUGAGAGUACCCGAAGAAAAAGCAUCGGCUAACUCCGUGCCAGCAGCCGCGGUAAUACGGAGGAUGCGAGCGUUAUCCGGAUUUAUUGGGUUUAAAGGGUGCGCAGGCGGAGGCACAAGUCAGCGGUAAAAUCGCGGGGCUCAACCCCGCUCAGCCGUUGAAACUGUGUCCCUUGAGUGCGCGAAGGGUAGGCGGAAUGCGUGGUGUAGCGGUGAAAUGCAUAGAUAUCACGCAGAACUCCGAUCGCGAAGGCAGCCUACCGGCGCGCAACUGACGCUCAUGCACGAAAGCGUGGGUAUCGAACAGGAUUAGAUACCCUGGUAGUCCACGCAGUAAACGAUGAAUGCUAUCUGUCCGGCCGGAAUGACGGCUGGGUGGCACAGCGAAAGCGUUAAGCAUUCCACCUGGGGAGUACGCCGGCAACGGUGAAACUCAAAGGAAUUGACGGGGGCCCGCACAAGCGGAGGAACAUGUGGUUUAAUUCGAUGAUACGCGAGGAACCUUACCCGGGCUCAAACGACACAGGGAUGCCGCCGAAAGGUGGCAGUCCUUCGGGACCUGUGUCGAGGUGCUGCAUGGUUGUCGUCAGCUCGUGCCGUGAGGUGUCGGCUUAAGUGCCAUAACGAGCGCAACCCCCAUCUUCAGUUGCCAUCAGGUAGAGCUGGGCACUCUGGAGAGACUGCCGGCGCAAGCUGCGAGGAAGGCGGGGAUGACGUCAAAUCAGCACGGCCCUUACGUCCGGGGCGACACACGUGUUACAAUGGCAGGUACAGCGGGAAGCCAGGCGGCGACGCCGAGCGGAACCCGAAAACCUGUCUCAGUUCGGAUCGGAGUCUGCAACCCGACUCCGUGAAGCUGGAUUCGCUAGUAAUCGCGCAUCAGCCAUGGCGCGGUGAAUACAAUCCCGGGCCUUGCACACACCGCCCGUCA